AGGGAAUACAAAGGAGCUCCACUGAGGGUCACCGGGCACUUAGACAGAGCUGCCAUGAACUGAGUAGCCAUACUCUUCUCUUCUGCCAUGAUGUCCUGUCUCGCCUUAGGUCCAGAGUAAUGGAGUCAAUCAAACAUGGGCUAAAACCUCUGGACCAUGAAGUGAAAUAAAUCUUUCCUCCUGUAAGAUGUUUAUAUCAGCAUUUUGGUCCCAGCAAGGAAAAGCUAACACACACACCUGUAAUCCUAAUUACUUGGGAGGCUGAGGAGGAGGAUUAGAAGUUGGAGUAAUUCAGUAAGAGCUUGUUUCAAAAAACAACGACAAAAUAAAUAAAUAAAUAAAUAAAUAAAAAUAAAAAGUGCUGGGGGUGUAGCUCAGUGGUAUGGCAUCCCUGGGUUGAAUCCCCACCACUGGGGGGGAAAAAAAAUUUUGUUUUGAAUCAUAAAGAAGUGUUUCAAGAUAAUUCUCUUUGAUAUCACCCAUUUUACUGCCAUUUAAUAUAGCAAGAUACUUAUCAAGCAGUAUAGAAAAAGAAAGCUGUUUUGAAGAGAAACUGUUCUUAAAAUCUACUUCUGGGUGCACCAGUUUUCAUCCCUGCUUAACAGCUCCUCACUCUGAGCCCACCAUCUUGUCUCCCACUUUUUGUAUAGCGUUAUUGAGUUAUUUUUAUCCAGUUUUAAUUAUAGGCAAUUUUGUAGCCUGCCUUUUUGCACUUAAUGUUAGUUAUUACAUGUUUUCCAUACUGCUCAUUCUUUGUAAUUAUCAUUUUAAUGGUUUCUAAUAUUCCAUUAUCUGUCAUAAUUUAUGUUUUGUUGAUUGACAUUCAGAUGAAGAAGGGAAUUGCUAUUAGUUCAUCAUAGACUCUGUACCAGGUGCUGCCUACUGCAGGCUAUGUACAGGCAGGCACUUACUUGACCCUCAUAAUCCUGCUAUAACCUAGAAACUUGGGAAAUUAUUAGCAAAUUAACAAAGAUCUUAUAUUCUAGUAGUGUGUGUAUAUGUACUAUAAAAAGAUGCAUAAUAAAUGUAUAUUUAUUAUCAAAAGCA